GUGUUAAAGCUCCUUAUCUUCCCCAACUAACCAGCCACAUCAGCCUCUAAUUCCCAGUGACACCACUAGCCCACCUCUUGAGCCUCUAAACUCCACUACAGCCCCUAUUUCACUUCAACUUGUGACCACCAUGUUAGCCUCGAGCCUCCACUACUAACACUAAACCCCACUACUGACCCUUAUCCCCACAUUAUAUCUUCUAACCCACCACUUCAACAUCUAACUUCCAUUACAGCCUCUAUUUGGUGCAUUGCUUUAAAACAAAAUUUGAAGGGUACUUUGUGCUCAGGAAGGGAGAAACUUGCUCAAUGUGAAAAAAACCAAAACAAACAAAACCAACCCAAACCCAGUUUUUACCUUUAAAAGACAUGUGAGUGCAUCCUUUA